UCUCCAGAGGUGGACAGAGUUCGCUGCCUCGCCUCAGACAUCCUGACACCAUCACCUGUGGCAGGGGACACCGGUCAGACCCGGGUCCACCAGUCAGACCCGGGUCUGACCCGUGAAGAGGACUCACCCGAGUCCUGCACAGACAGGUGACCCCUCAGACCUGACGGGCUCAGUGUUCCUGUCACUUCCUCAGAAACCAAUCAGCUCUCAGCUCUGAUGAUCAGUUGAUUAAUUUGACGAUGGACAGAAACGAUCGAUCACUUAAGUCUGUUUAAACAGAUGCUCUGGUUCCAGUUUCCCACUUUUCUCUGACAGUGAACUCAACAUAUUGUGUGUGUGGCAUAAGAACAUGAUCCAUCGAUUAUCAAAGGCAAGUUUUGAUAACGUGUGACCGUUGGGAUCACACGUCUGUUCGUUACUGAAGAACAGAAGAACCCACAAGACCAGGAACAGAACCAGAGCCAGACCCCUCUACAGAACCAGAACCUUCUACAGAACCAGAACCUUCUACAGAACCAGACCCCUCUACAGAACCAGAACCCUCUACAGAACCAGAACAAGAACCUUCUACAGAACCAGAACUAGAGAAUAUUUUUACUACCCUGAGUAAAUUGACUUUAUUUAAACUCUGCUGAGGAAACGAGUCCUUCAGCAGCAGACAGACAGCUUGUUCCUGCCAACGCCUCUGAUCCCAGGUUUUCAUUGGACGAAGGACACAUGAUUUAUAUGAUGAUGUCACACAGGUCAAUAAGACAUUUGUUCACCUGUAAAAGAAGUUUGAGGUUGAAGAGUCGUUACCUGUUGAAGCCUCAGAGUCCGGUCGGUCGUCGCCUGUUCAGGAGUCGGAGCUCAGACGAUCUGACCGUCGCCAUCAAACAUUCAGCAGCAGCUCCGGUGACGGAGCCGCCACGCCUGCUCGGGUUUCACUGAGACGCUUUGUGAUGGGGAGGGGAGGUAACCAUGACAACCAGCUCUGCUGCAGGAGACAUGAGACGGGUUCAACCAAUCACACGGGCAUCUGCAGCUGAGAGUAUUCGUCCUGCCCCUCCUUCUCGUCCAGGUGAACACACGGGGCAGCAGCAGAAUCCUCACAGGUAUCGUCAGCAGCAACACGAAGGGGAACGCUAACGCAGCUGCCGUCGACAUGACGACCCACAGGAGAGACAGACAGGUGUCCUCCACGCUGUAGUCCACCAACACCAUGAUGAGGAUCGCGAUGGGGACCCCGAAGUCUCCGAUGAUCCUUCGGAGCUAAAGCCAGAAAGGAGGAGGACUCAUGUUUAGACUCAAGGUGCACAACCUGCAUGUACCUGUACACACAGUAACUGUACAUGUACACAUGUAUACAGUACAGUAUUUGUGCCAAUAUCUACAUGUGUGCACCAGUGCCUGUUCCUGUAUGUAUCUCUAUAACCAGUAUAAAUUUGUAUACUACUGUACCUCCUGUAUAUAUACUUGUUUUCACCCAAAUGUACCUGUAUGUGUGUGUGUACU